rnacentral:rRNA from 1 species
CUGGACUUUGGGAUAAGCCUGGGAAACUGGGUCUAAUACCGGAUAUGACCUGUCUCCGCAUGGGGGUGGGUGGAAAGAUUUUUUGGUUCAGGUUGGGCCCGCGGCCUAUCAGCUUGUUGGUGGGGUGAUGGCCUACCAAGGCGACGACGGGUAGCCGGCCUGAGAGGGCGACCGGCCACACUGGGACUGAGACACGGCCCAGACUCCUACGGGAGGCAGCAGUGGGGAAUAUUGCACAAUGGGCGCAAGCCUGAUGCAGCGACGCCGCGUGAGGGAUGACGGCCUUCGGGUUGUAAACCUCUUUCGGUUGGGACGAAGCCUUUCGGGGUGACGGUACCUUCAGAAGAAGCACCGGCUAACUACGUGCCAGCAGCCGCGGUAAUACGUAGGGUGCGAGCGUUGUCCGGAAUUAUUGGGCGUAAAGAGCUCGUAGGCGGUUUGUUGCGUCGGCCGUGAAAACUAGCAGCUUAACUGUUGGCUUGCGGUCGAUACGGGCAGACUUGAGUUCGGUAGGGGAGACUGGAAUUCCUGGUGUAGCGGUGAAAUGCGCAGAUAUCAGGAGGAACACCGGUGGCGAAGGCGGGUCUCUGGGCCGAUACUGACGCUGAGGAGCGAAAGCGUGGGGAGCGAACA